rnacentral:lncRNA from 1 species
UUUAGUUUCUUGAAUCUAAUAUUAGUUACAAUUUCAUACAAAUAAAGACUUUGAACAAGCAGUUUUGGCCUAUCAUUCAAAACCUCUUAUCAUGUCAAACAAAACUAUAAUCAAACACUUUCAACCCCCAAAAGAAAACUAUAUAAAAGAUUCAAAUUGAAAUCCUUCUCUUUUAUCCUUGAUCAGGCCUUUCCUUUUUCCUCGUGAAUUAGUCUUAUUCUCAAGCAAGACCCAAACCCUUGAAAAAAAUCAAACAAAUGAAAGCCGAAGUGAUUCAGCUCCCAAAUUGGCUUGGACUCAUCUCAUCUAGUCAUCUUUGGAAUUGGACAGAUAGUUUGGAAUUUCAUUUUUCCUUCCUGAGAUCAUAUAGUUAAUUUGGAACAAAAGGAUUAAAAAUAAUGAGUUGUUUUAAGACUGAGUAUAACUAUACAAAAUAUUAAAGAAGAAGAGCACACCAGAUAAUUAAAGAAGAAGAGCACACCAGAUAACAUAUAGGACCUGAACACAUUUAUCUGCCAUGUUAAUCACUGUUGAAGUUGGCCUGCAUGCAGACAAGGAGCAGACCAUGCAGCCCGAGCCAUGCAGUUGCAGCUGAAAUUCAAGCUGCUGUUUCAUUUUGUUACUUUCAAAUGAUGUUCUGUAACUUAGUUAGAUUAUAACUAAGUUGUUA